UUAAAAGUGGAUUGAUUUGCGAUGUUUCUUUUUAGGAAACGGGAUUGCAACCACUCAAAAAAAAGUGCUAAUACCUUCCUU
rfam:Pedobacter sp. Leaf194 contig_1, whole genome shotgun sequence.